UUAUGGCCACAUCACGUUGAAACACCGGUUCCCAUACGAUCAACGAAGUUAAGCUGCAUCGAGUCUGGCCAGUACCUAGGCUGACGACCGCUUGGGAAUACCAAAUGCCGGAA